AUGUCCAUCGUCAAGCGUGCUUUGGGCUUCGGCGGCGGCUACGGCCAGAGCAAGCCGGUGAUUAGCUACCACACCCAGAGCCCCGACUCCGUGACCACCGUCUUGACGGAGAUCAGCCACAUGAGCCUCAACGAGAAGCAGGCGGGGUACAACGGCGCCGCCGUGCAGAAGACGGCCUCCCUCACGGAGCUGUGCUCUGAGGAUGCCGAGGUGCAGAAGCACGGCUACGGGCAGCAGGCGUACGGCAGCGACGUCGGAGGGUUCGACGCCCUCGUCCGUGACAACGCCGCGCAGAAGCACGGCGGCUUCGGCGAGCAGAAGGCGGCGUCGUACCAGCAUGAGAGCGGCGCCGGAGGGUACAGCGCUCACCACCACGAAAGCUCCGUGCAGAAGCACGGUGGCUACGGUGCGCAGAAGGCGUCGUCGUACCAGCAUGGAGGCUACGACGCCGUCAGCCACGACAGCGCGGGCGCCACGCAGAAGCAUGGCUACGGUGAGCAGAAGGCUUACCAUCAUGGGGCUGAAGCCCACCAUGACAGCUCGGCGCAGAAGCACGGCUACGGCGAGCAGAAGGCGUACGGUGGUCACCACCAGGACAGCAAGGUCCAGAAGAGCGGCUACGGCGGCGAGCAUACGGCGUAUCACCAGGACGGCAAGGUCCAGAAGCAUGGCUACGGGGAGAAGGCGCACGGCUACGGCGAGCAGAAGGCUUACGACGGCAAGGUCCAGAAGCACGGCUACGGCGAGCAGAACGCGUACGACAGCAAGGUCCAGAAGCAUGGCUACGGCGAGCACAAGGCGUACGACAGCGCGGUCCAGAAGCACGGCUACGGCGAGCAGAAGCCGUACGAGCAUGGGAGCGCCGCCUCCGCCCUCGACCACGACAGCUACGGCGCCGUGAAGAAGCACGGCUAUGGCGGCGCCGGCGAGCAGAAGGCGUACGGCGCUGCAGCGGGAGGGUACGACGCCGUCCACCACGACAGCUCAGUGCAGAACUACGGCUACGGCGAGCAGAAGGCGUCGUACCAGCACGGGAGCGACGCCGGAGGGUACGGCGGUGCCCACCACGGCAGCGCGACGCAGAAGCACGGCUACGGCGGUGGGCAGAAGGCUUACGGGCACGGUGCUGAUGCCGGAGGGUACGACGCUGCUUUCCAGUACGGCGGCGCGAAGCAGACGAAGCACGGCUAUGGCGGCGGGCAGAUGGGUUACCAGCAUGGCGCUGAAGCCGGAGGGUACAACGCUUCCUACCACGGCGGCGCAGCGCAGAAGCACGGCGCCUAUGGCGGGCAGAAGGCGUCGUACCAGCAAGGGUGCGCCGGCGGCGUCGGAGGGUACGACUCGCUUGUCCAGAACAAGCAUGGGAGCUACGUCGGCGGGUACAAUGCGUACCCGUCGCAGCAAGGGUGCGGCGGCGGUGACGUGGCAGGGUAUGAUGCUCUUGUCCAACGCCGGCAGAUGCAGAAGCAGCAGCAGUACAACCAGGCCGGAUACGAGAGCGACGAAGAGAGCGAGGAGGAUAGCGACUGCGAAGAGGAGGAGGUGCUGGGCGGCGGAUACGGCAUGCAUAAAUACGCCGCCGGCAGCACCAUGCCCGGCGGCACGCAGUACUACUCCGCGUACGAGCGCCGCCAGCAGCUCGGCGGCGGGAGCCAGUACGAGGCGUACGAGAGCUCCACCACCCAGGGGUACUCCGGCGGCGGCGGUGGCUACGGCGGCGGGUGGGCGCAGCCCAAGAAGCACAGCUACUACUGA
rnacentral:rRNA from 1 species